AUUUUACUCCUUUCGUCUGGAAAUAUUUGUCGAAGAAAUGGAUAAAAUGGAUGUAUCUAAAAUUAAAUACGUCUAUAUACAUUCAUUUCUCCAACGUGUAUUUUUGGACGGAGGAAGUAUUAU
rnacentral:pre_miRNA from 1 species